AACUCUCUCUCUUUCUGAUUGAGUGUAAGCUGCUAUAUGAAGGGAUCCACAAGACGAAUAAUUAAGGGGGACCUCUGAUCAACAGCCAGCAAGGAACUGAAUCCCUCAGACCCACAACUCACAAGAAACUGAAGCUGAAGCAGAUUCUUCCUCAGUCAAGCUUCAGGUGCCCAGCUGUAUUGGUAGAGGAGACCAACCACACCCUCCACAGCACAGCACCUGGAGAGGAACUGCUGCCAUGACCAUAGAGGACACCCUCUGGAUACAAUGCCAGACUUGAUGUGGGACUGACCAACCUAUGGACCCCAGGCACCACCACCCAGACCUGCUCAGCACCUGAAACAUUCACAGCCGUGGAGAGAGAACUGUUCACUGCUACCAUCCACACUUCUGGGCCCCUUCAGCAGCAGGGUGACAAGGAAGAGGGAAAUCGACUUGGAAAAGAGGGGACCUCUGACCCAAGAGUUCGGUCAAUGCAUAUGUUGGCAGCCAGCUGCACAUCGCACCAAAUAUGAACUUCAAAUAGAAGAAAGCCUCAUUUGGAAGAAAGCUCAUGCACAGACUGUAAAUAUUUCAGAGCAGAUUGUGUCUCUGUAGAUUAACCGGAUACAGUGGCUUGCACCUGUGGUCUCAGCGACUUGGGCGACUGAAGCAAGAAGAUCACUUGAGCCUAGGAGUUCGAGGCUACAGCAAGCUAUGACCGUGCCACUGCACUCCAGCCUGGGCGUGACAGACCAGCUCUUCUUCUGAAGGAUGACCACCUGGAAUAAGAGCAGCCCUAGGCCCCCCACCUCACUCCAGGUGGCAGAUCCACAGAGAUGGUAGCGAUACAGAAGCACAGCUUCCGAUGGCUUCCCCGUGUCUUCAGUUUGCAGCCUUAUUUCGGUGCUUGGACGUGCUUAACUUCUCAGGAUUAUAUUCUGCUUUGGAGUGCAAGGAGAAAGUCACAGUCUAGUUUUAUGAAGACCAAACUAGAGAAAAUCGAGUUAUCUUAAAGUGUAUGACAUCUCCACAAAUGAAUGUUUAUGGCUUUACACUUGGAGUGUUCUUGGAACACUCUUCAUAGCAAAUCCUCCCUCAGAAGACCCCCACCUGGCAUCAGAACAAACGUCUACCUAAUCUUCCAAACUCUGUGUAAAUCCUGGAUCCACCAUUUACCAGCUGUGUAACCCUGGACAACAAUUCCAUCUUUCUGACCUCAGUGUCUUUCUCUGCAAAACAGCGGUAAGAAUGAUCCUACUUCAAUAGAGUUGCUGUGAGGAUUCACUGAGAUCAUGUGUACCAAGCUCCUACAAUAGUACUGAACCCACAGCCAUGGAUCAAGACCAUUAACUUAUAAUCAGUGAUAGCCAAGAGGAUGGGAAGAGAAUAUUAAGCCUGGUGCUCUGCAAAUUAAUACUUGCAGCCUGUCUUGAAGGAGUACCACCUGUCUUCAGCCUGCUAAUGAAAAUUGGAAUUCUCUGAGGAAAGCUCUGUCAUCUAGAAUCUUCUGACCAGUGGAUGAGUCAGCUCAGGGCCUCUUCUCUGCAUCUUCCUUGGACUCGGACUGUGGGAAGCCCUGUGGAAAGCAGGAUGAUCUAACAGCAGGAUAAAGAUUGUUUUUGUUAUCAUGUCCCAUGGCUAAAAAUUACCCACUGCUUUUCCUUCUUAAACUGGGAUCCUCAACUUGGAAUCUCUGGCUAUUAAUAAAGUCUGGAGAGAGCAA
rnacentral:lncRNA from 1 species